rnacentral:tmRNA from 1 species
GGGGCCGUAACGGUUUCGACAGGUUGGUGAAAGCUAAUCUGUGAUUCAGGUCGAGAGAGAGUCCACUCUCGCAAAUAAAGACUCAAAAUCUAAAUAUAGAUGCAAACAACAUCGUAAAAUUCGAGCGCCAGGCUGUAUUUGCCUAGACCCAAACUGUGGUCUGCUCGCUUUUAGUUCCGACUCCGUUAGGCGCUAAAACGAAACCCCAACGGAUGCACUCUUUAGUUACUUCUGGUUGACUAAUGCAGUAAAGACUUCACUAGAAAAUCCUGCCAUCAGGGAUAAUUGAUGGUUCCCGUUCUGAGGGUCAGAAGAACUAAACCUGUGAAUGAGCGGAAAGUCAAUAAUCAGUCUGGACAGCAGUUCGACUCUGCUCGGCUCCAUUU